UCCCUGGUGGCUUAGUCGGCAGAGAAUUCACCUGCAAUGUGGGAGACCUAGGUUCGAUCCCUGGGUUGGGAA
rnacentral:tRNA from 1 species